GUUGCACUUGCUGCUACUGAGCCUUCAAGUCUUCUCUUCGACCUGAAGUUACCGUGACUCUUCACAUUACCUCCAAAAAAACAAUAGUCUUUCUAAAGACUCCAUCUCCGCCCUCCAUUUCCACCUUUCCUUGUGGUGAGGCAAUUUUUGCCACAGAAAAAAAAUCUCAAGACUCCCAUCCUGUCUUUUGUGGUGCUGCAGACUUUUCAGGCUUGUUCCAGACCGGCUCUUCCAGAGUAGUGUCACGUGUGACACUGUGCCUGUCUUUGUCUGCACACCCUGCACUGCACUCAUAUACAACAGAACCCACUAACGCCUACCUGCAAACAUACUUACGACAAGAACUGAACACUUCCUGAGAACAUAUUUGAUUGCACAUACUAUACUCUGUACAUACUAUACUCUGUACCAUUUUCAUACUGAAUACUCCUUUGAGACUUGAAUACUCAUUUGAAACUGAAUACUCUAAGAUUUGAAUACUCCUUUGAGACUUGAAUACUUUGAUAUUUGAAUACUCAUUUCAGACUUGAAUACUUUGAGAUUUGAAUACUCCUUUGAGACUUGAAUACUUUGAGAUUUGAAUACUCCUUUGAGACUUGAAUACUUUGAGAUUUGAAUACUCC